UUCCCUCCGAAGUUUCCCCCAGGAUAGCUGGAGCUUGAUCAGUUUUAUCGGGUAAAGCGAAUGAUUAGAGGUUCGGGGGAUGAAACAUCCUUCACCUAUUCUCAAACUUUAAAUAGGUAAGACGUGUCGGUUGCUUAACUGAACCGUCACAUUCAAUGUGAGCUCCAAGUGGGCCAUUUUUGGUAAGCAGAACUGGCGAUGCGGGAUGAACCGAUAGUCGAGUUAAGGUGCCAAACUGCGCGCUAACCUAGAUCCCACAAAGGGUGUUGAUUGAUAUAAACAGCAGGACGGUGGUCAUGGAAGUCGAAAUCCGCUAAGGAGUGUGUAACAACUCACCUGCCGAAUCAAUUAGCCCCGAAAAUGGAUGGCGCUUAAGCGCGCGACCUAUACUCGGCCAUGGAUGCAAGUGCGACGCGUCCAUGAGUAGGAGGGCGUGGGUGUCGAGACUAAGCCUCUGGCGUGAGCCUGGGUGAAUCGGCAUCUAGUG
rnacentral:ncRNA from 1 species